rnacentral:tRNA from 1 species
GCAAUCAUAGCUCAGUGGCAGAGCACUGGUCUUGUAAACCAGGGUCGAGUUCCAUCCUCACUGGUGGCG